UGUUUGCUGUGAUGAAUCACAAGGAUGGUAUCUGAGUAAGGUAGCUCUUAAAAAAGAGCCUCCUUCCUUGAUUAUACACACUAAACAAAUCAUUAUUCUGACCAAACA